rnacentral:rRNA from 1 species
UUAAUUGAAGAGUUUGAUCAUGGCUCAGAUUGAACGCUGGCGGCAGGCCUAACACAUGCAAGUCGAGCGGUAACAGGAGAAGCUUGCUUCUCGCUGACGAGCGGCGGACGGGUGAGUAAUGUAUGGGGAUCUGCCCGAUAGAGGGGGAUAACCACUGGAAACGGUGGCUAAUACCGCAUAAUCUCUUAGGAGCAAAGCAGGGGAA